rnacentral:rRNA from 1 species
GAUGAACGCUGGCGGCGUGCCUAAUACAUGCAAGUCGAGCGCACAGAUGAGGAGCUUGCUCCUCAGACGUUAGCGGCGGACGGGUGAGUAACACGUGGAUAACCUACCUAUAAGACUGGGAUAACUACGGGAAACCGGAGCUAAUACCGGAUAAUAUAUUGAACCGCAUGGUUCAAUAGUGAAAGACGGUUUUGCUGUCACUUAUAGAUGGAUCCGCGCCGCAUUAGCUAGUUGGUAAGGUAACGGCUUACCAAGGCAACGAUGCGUAGCCGACCUGAGAGGGAGACCAGCCACACUGGAACUGAGACACGCUCCAGACACCAACGGGAGACAGCAGUAGGGAAUCUUCCGCAAUGGACGAAACCCUGACGGAGCAACAACACGUGAGUGAUGAAAGUCUUUGGAUCGUAAAACUCUGUUAUUAGGAAAGAACAAAUGAAUAAGUAACUAUGCACAUCUUGACGGUACCUAAUAAGAAAGCCACGGCUAACUACGUG